GGUAGAUUUGAUGAAAACCAAUUAUACGUUGUGAUAAAUUAUACGGUAGCUCUUAUAUCUGUUUUAUGACUUUUUAUUUUAUCUAACUGUUAAGCUAUGAGGUUUAAUAGUAUUAAACAUUCUUUUUACUAAGUUUUUAAUAAAGGGUUAAAAUUACCCAUUUUUUAUAAAAGUGUUAUAACUUUAAUUAACUAGUUAACAGAAUUUUAUUUAGGGGUCAUAUAAAUUUAAUUAAUAGUUUUUAUUUAUGAUUAAAUAAGUAAUAAUAAUAUAAAAUUUGUUUCUCAAGACUCUCCUGUCUGUUUAUUAAAAACAUUUCCACAUUAUAUCUAUAUGUGGUAGUACCUGCCCUAUGCUUUGGUAAAUGGCCGCAGUAUCUUGACUGUGCGAAGGUAGCAUAAUUAAUUGCCUUAUAAUUGAAGGCUUGUCUGAAUGGUUUGACAAGGUGAUAUCUAACAUAUUUUAUUUUUAUGAAAUUAAUUUAGAGGGCACAGAAUCCUCUUAUGUUAAUU
rnacentral:rRNA from 1 species